rnacentral:snoRNA from 1 species
GGUCGGGCUGAUAACUAGGCGGUGGUUCAAUGACUUCUCAACAACCCCUGCCCUUUAAGUGCCCGAGAGAUUAAGCUUCUUUCGCGGUCGAUCUUACACAUUUGCUUUCCUUUCCCCAUGUUUGUACAUGUUUAUUCGGCCGCGACAUUU